rnacentral:rRNA from 2 species
AAAGAAAGUAACAGUGAUCAUCGUAGUAACGGCUAAGGAAGUGAACA